rnacentral:sRNA from 1 species
UAGUGUGAUUGCAUUUAUUCUUAUAAAUGUACAGAGCUGUAGAAGUGCAAGCCAAGAGUUCUAUAGAGUAGUACAUAAACACCAUAUGGUACCAUUCCUGCUGGGAGGUAAGCCUGGAUACACCCCUCUCCUCAGGAAACUGUCACCUGCAGAACACACAGCACUCAGAAUUAAGGCAGUUUGGCCCUGGGCACAUUGGUGGUAUUUUGGUCUCUACUCACCUUCCACAGCCACCUCCUAGCACACACUGGGUUCCUCUACCCGUGUCGCUGUCUCUCUUUACACUGUGCUACACUUGAUCCCUUUCCACAUGUGCACUUCACCUCUCAGACACAAGAAAGGCCUGGACAUGGUCUCUGCAGAUGUGGAAGGGGUUCUGGAUGGAAAUGUUCUUCAGCUCUACAAGCAUUUGCA